AUACGGAGGAUGCGAGCGUUAUCCGGAUUUAUUGGGUUUAAAGGGUGCGUAGGUGGUUUGAUAAGUCAGCGGUGAAAGUUUGCAGCUUAACUGUAAAAAUGCCGUUGAAACUGUCGGACUUGAGUGUAAAUGAGGUAGGCGGAAUGCGUGGUGUAGCGGUGAAAUGCAUAGAUAUCACGCAGAACUCCGAUUGCGAAGGCAGCUUACUAAGCUACAACUGACACUGAAGCACGAAAGCGUGGGGAUCAAACAGGAUUAGAUACCCUGGUAGUCCACGCAGUAAACGAUGAUUACUAGCUGUUUGCGAUACACAGUAAGCGGCACAGCGAAAGCGUUAAGUAAUCCACCUGGGGAGUACGCCGGCAACGGUGAAACUCAAAUGAAUUGACGGG
rnacentral:rRNA from 1 species